rnacentral:rRNA from 1 species
UACGAAGGGGGCUAGCGUUGCUCGGAAUUACUGGGCGUAAAGCGCACGUAGGCGGUCCUUUAAGUCGGGGGUGAAAUCCUGGAGCUCAACUCCAGAACUGCCUUCGAUACUGGAAGACUUGAGUCCGGGAGAGGUGAGUGGAACUGCGAGUGUAGAGGUGAAAUUCGUAGAUAUUCGCAAGAACACCAGUGGCGAAGGCGGCUCACUGGCCCGGUACUGACGCUGAGACGCGAAAGCGUGGGGAGCGAACAGG